rnacentral:rRNA from 1 species
AUUGAACGCUGGCGGCAGGCUUAAAACAUGCAAGUCGAGCGAGCGGCGGACGGGUGAGAAAGGUCUGGGAAAAUGCCUGAGGGAGGGGGAUAACUACGGGAAACGGUAGCUAAUACCGCAUACCAUCAGAUGUGCCCAGAUGGGAUUAGGUAGUAGGUGGGGUAAAGGCUAACCUAGGCGACGAUCCCUAGCUGGUCUGAGAGGAUGACCAGCCCCACUGGAACGGAUACACGGGCCAGACUCCUACCGGAGGCAGCAGUGGGGACUAUUGCGCAAUGGGCGCAAGCCUGAUGCAGCCAUGCCGCGUGUGUGAAGAAGGCCUUCGGUUUGUAAAGCACUUUCAGCUAGGAGGCGUUACUCACAGAAUAAGCACCGGCUAACUCCGUGCCAGCGGCCGCGGUAAUUC